UACGUAGGGGGCUAGCGUUGUCCGGAAUCAUUGGGCGUAAAGCGCGUGUAGGCGGCCCGGUAAGUCCGCUGUGAAAGUCGGGGGCUCAACCCUCGAAUGCCGGUGGAUACUGUCGGGCUAGAGUACGGAAGAGGCGAGUGGAAUUCCUGGUGUAGCGGUGGAAUGCGCAGAUAUCAGGAGGAACACCAAUAGCGAAGGCAGCUCGCUGGGACGGUACUGACGCUAAGGCGCGAAAGCGUGGGGAGCGAACAGG
rnacentral:rRNA from 1 species